rnacentral:piRNA from 1 species
CAGAAGACCGAACUUAACUUUAAGGCAG